UUGUUCUUCUUGUAUUCUUGAUUUUCUUGGUUUUAUUUAUUCUUGAAAAUGUUGAUUUCUGAUUAGCUACUGAUUUCUUGAUAGGAUUACUUUCAGGAGAACAAUAUAGAGUAAAUCAACAGAGCAAUUCUCAGGCGUCGCAUAAAGAGUAAUGAGUAUAGCCUACCAUUCGUUUCCAAGAACUAUAUUUUGUUAAUGGGACAGGAGCUGUAAUUGAAAGCAUAUACGUGUUUGUUAUCAUUUGUAUACAUCAAGGAAGGAGAAGGGUAAAAUCUUAGGCCUCCUUACAUUUGUGCUCACCAUUUUUGCUUGCUGUAUACGUGAUGGAAAACGAAGAUUAUGAAAUUGGUCUCCCCUGUCCUCCUUUGGACGACCUUACAAUUUCUUUGGUUCAAAUCAUAUUUGAUUUGCGACCUGAGAAAUUCUUUGAAGGAGUAGCUGAUGAUAAGCCGGUGAUGGUUUGAACGCAGAG